rnacentral:rRNA from 1 species
AUUGAACGCUGGCGGCAGGCCUAACACAUGCAAGUCGAGCGAGCGGCGGACGGGUGAGUAAUGUCUGGGAAACUGCCUGAUGGAGGGGGAUAACUACUGGAAACGGUAGCUAAUACCGCAUACCAUCAGAUGUGCCCAGAUGGGAUUAGCUAGUAGGUGGGGUAACGGCUCACCUAGGCGACGAUCCCUAGCGGGUCUGAGAGGAUGACCAGCCACAUGGGAAAUGAGACACGGUCCAGAGUCCUACGGGAGGCAGCAGUGGGGAAUAUGGCACAAUGGGCGCAAGCUGGAGGCAGCCAUGCGGAGUGUGUGAAGAGGGCCUUCGGGUUGUAAAGCACUUUCAGCGGGGAGGCGUUACCCGAAGAAGAAGCACCGGCUAACUCCGUGCCAGCCGCCGCGGUAAUAC